rnacentral:rRNA from 1 species
AGGUUAACCGUAUAGGGGAGCCGCAGGGAAACCGAGUCUUAACUGGGCGUUAAGUUGCAGGGUAUAGACCCGAAACCCGGUGAUCUAGCCAUGGGCAGGUUGAAGGUUGGGUAACACUAACUGGAGGACCGAACCGACUAAUGUUGAAAAAUUAGCGGAUGACUUGUGGCUGGGGGUGAAAGGCCAAUCAAACCGGGAGAUAGCUGGUUCUCCCCGAAAGCUAUUUAGGUAGCGCCUCGUGAACUCAUCUUCGGGGGUAGAGCACUGUUUCGGCUAGGGGGUCAUCCCGACUUACCAACCCGAUGCAAACUACGAAUACCGAAGAAUGUUAUCACGGGAGACACACGGCGGGUGCUAACGUCCGUCGUGAAGAGGGAAACAACCCAGACCGCCAGCUAAGGUCCCAAAGUCAUGGUUAAGUGGGAAACGAUGUGGGAAGGCACAGACAGCCAGGAUGUUGGCUUAGAAGCAGCCAUCAUUUAAAGAAAGCGUAAUAGCUCACUGGUCGAGUCGGCCUGCGCGGAAGAUGUAACGGGGCUAAACCAUGCACCGAAGCUGCGGCAGCGACACUAUGUGUUGUUGGGUAGGGGAGCGUUCUGUAAGCCUGCGAAGGUGACCUGUGAGGGUUGCUGGAGGUAUCAGAAGUGCGAAUGCUGACAUAAGUAACGAUAAAGCGGGUGAAAAGCCCGCUCGCCGGAAGACCAAGGGUUCCUGUCCAACGUUAAUCGGGGCAGGGUGAGUCGACCCCUAAGGCGAGGCCGAAAGGCGUAGUCGAUGGGAAACAGGUUAAUAUUCCUGUACUUGGUGUUACUGCGAAGGGGGGACGGAGAAGGCUAUGUUAGCCGGGCGACGGUUGUCCCGGUUUAAGCAUGUAGGCUGGUUAUCCAGGCAAAUCCGGAUAAUCAAGGCUGAGGUGUGAUGACGAGGCACUACGGUGCUGAAGUAACAAAUGCCCUGCUUCCAGGAAAAGCCUCUAAGCAUCAGGUAACAUCAAAUCGUACCCCAAACCGACACAGGUGGUCAGGUAGAGAAUACCAAGGCGCUUGAGAGAACUCGGGUGAAGGAACUAGGCAAAAUGGUGCCGUAACUUCGGGAGAAGGCACGCUGGUGUGUAGGUGAAGCCCCUGCGGGUGGAGCUGAGACCAGUCGAAGAUACCAGCUGGCUGCAACUGUUUAUUAAAAACACAGCACUGUGCAAACACGAAAGUGGACGUAUACGGUGUGACGCCUGCCCGGUGCCGGAAGGUUAAUUGAUGGGGUUAUCCGUAAGGAGAAGCUCUUGAUCGAAGCCCCGGUAAACGGCGGCCGUAACUAUAACGGUCCUAAGGUAGCGAAAUUCCUUGUCGGGUAAGUUUCGACCUGCACGAAUGGCGUAAUGAUGGCCAGGCUGUCUCCACCCGAGACUCAGUGAAAUUGAACUCGCUGUGAAGAUGCAGUGUACCCGCGGCAAGACGGAAAGACCCCGUGAACCUUUACUA